CCCCAGCCCAGGAGUCCCAGGUGUUCCCAGUCUGUGAUCAGGACAGAACACAGACACCUCACCAUGGAGUUUGUGCUUGGCUGGGCUUUCCUUGUUGCUGUUUUAAAAGGUGUCCAGUGUGAGGUGCAGCUGGUGGAGUCUGGGGGUGGUCUGGUGAAGCCUGGAGGGUCCCUGAGACUCUCCUGUGCAGCCUCCGGAUUCACCUUCAGUAGCUACCACAUGUACUGGGUCCGCCAGGCUCCAGGAAAGGGGCUGGAGUGGGUUGGAUAUAUUUAUAGUAGUGGAAGUACAGGCUACGCAGACUCCGUGAAGGGCCGAUUCACCAUCUCCAGAGACAACGCCAAGAACACAGUGGAUCUACAGAUGAACAACCUGAGGGUCGAAGACACGGCCACAUAUUUCUGUGCGAGAGACACAGUGAGGAGUCAUCAGUGUGAGCCCAGACACAAACCUCCCUGGAGAAGGGGAUCAGCACCACCAGGGGGCGCACACUAUGCACAGCUCUGGUUUAUAUUCCCAGGAGCAGGGACAGAUGGAGGAGGCGGGGUGUGGUUCCAUGAGGGAUGUGAGGCUCUGAUGGACAGGGAAUGCGGUGUCCUGCGUGAAACCAGCACCGACCCCAACCUCAGAGGAGACACAGGAAGUGCCCUUCUACUCUCGCCGUCCUUACAUUUUCUUGACAUCCCAGGAGUGUGCACCUGA